UCAACGGGCAGGAAUUUCUGAAGCUGCUCUGCCGAAACCGUCUGUAUGCCCUAGGAGGAUGUUGUGGCGUUGUAUCGCACAUUAGAGACUGGUAGAGACUGGUAAUCAUGGGGAUGAGAAGCCUCAGCCACAGGUGUUGAUGACCCCUCCUGCGAGCUGUGACUUGGAGCCGGCGUGAACUCAGCCCGCAGGCAGGCAUUCCCUUCUGGCUUUGUGUGAGAGCAUGGCAGCUAAAAGUGAUGGGCACCGUUUUUACGGAGCGCGUCCUGGUGUGAUUUCUCAUUUCCACGAACAGCAAAGGUCGUGGCCUCACUGCACGCUUGGCUGCCUUCAUCCCUGUGUGAGACCAAGAGGUGCCCGUUGUCUUCCUGAGCUCCUCCAAGUCUCUUUCUCCGUGCUGCACCCUAGGGAGACUCACAGCAGUUUCUCCAGAAUCAGGAGCAAUGAGUGCAGGUUGCCCCAAUGAAGAAGAGUUAGUGAGAGGAGGCCUCACCUGGUACUGGACUGCUUGGCAUAAAAACAACAAUACACUGUUGUUAUUUAGUGCACCUGAUGUGAUAGUCCUUACAGCCAUUCUUUGCUUCAGUCGUUUACAAGCCCUGAUUUCAGUCCAAAACAAGCUUCCUUGAAAUAAAAUAAUCAUUUUCCAGUCUUCCUGUAGAAGCCAAAAGUAUUUUAAGUUGGCCUGGUCUGGCCUAAAUACAAGGUGGGGAGGGGGUCGGUAUGUUGGGGACAUUUUAGUAAUGAGAGGAAGAAUGUGAAAGGAAGGAUUAAACCCGGUGUUUUAUGUGUGUUCAUUGAGUCAAUUUAUAAGGUGCCUUUUGCAAAAUAUCUUGAGCGCUGCAUGAAAAACCACAAAGCAAAAUAUUUUAAAAAUCUGGACGCAAAGCCAACAUGUCCCAGAGUACAGCCAGGCAGCGGAGGAGAACCUGGCACCAGGCGAAGUUCUCUAACCACUGGGCACCAGCAGAAGGACAUCCGUGGCUGUGGGGCAAGUCUUGGAAGAGAGGUGGUGAUAAGAAUUAUGAAUCCCUGUCUUCGUUGGGAUCCUGAUUGAGAAGCAUGGGGCAGUGGCACCCACAUGGUGUGAGAAAGGCAGCACCACCUGGCUUUCAGCAUCUCCUUCUUGCCUGGUCCACUUUGGAGCGCAAGGGCUUGGAUCUUGAAGGCAGAUUCCCUGGAAAAGCUGCAAUUUCCCCAGCCUGCCAGCUGUAAGAAGGAGCAGAUCCACCCAAGGUUCAGAAUUGGGCUGUACGUGCUGCAGGCUUGGAGAGUCGACAAUGCCAGAGGAAACCGUGUACUCAUCUGCUAUUACAUGCCUGUCGUGUCCAGACUCCUGGCUCUCUUAGGGGUUUUUGCAAAAUCCCAAUGCCUGCAAUGAAGGCUGGCAAGGAAGAGGCGAGCUCAUUAGCCCGGCUCCAUGUGUGUAAGAGGAACCAGCAAGGUCCAGAGCUACGAGCCAGGAACAAGCAGUGGUGCUUGGGCAGAAGAUCCCAGCAGGGGUCCUGCCUGUGGGCUGCAUACUGCUGCUUGUGUAUAAAUGUAUAAACGUGCCAAAGAAACGCAGAGACUGGCUGCCACAGGAGUGUCCUGCUGGGGGAACCCACCAGCCGGGUUCCAGGUCUCUGCAGGGCCGCACCAGCACGGGAGGCCUCACAGCUUUACCUCAGUGUGAGACCACCCAGCUCACCUCCUCCCACAGGUGGUGUGCUUUGAAGCCCACCAUCGAAUCCCCUCAGCUGAGGUCCUGCGUCUUUGUGCCAGGUUCUUAGCUGAGCACCGUUAUCAGUCGAGGGGCCGUGAUGCUCACCAGGGGACGUUCAUCCUUCCUGAGGAGCUACCAGGCAGCUAACAGAAGCGCUUUCACACAGGCCUGGUCCCUGCCUUUCUGCUGUGCUGUUGCUGAGGAGGGCCAGGGCUGUGUCUGGAGGCAGAAGGGCAAAGCUGGCGCUGCUCCAAGGUGCCCCAUGAGUGGGAGCUGCCCCCAUCCCUGAGCAGAGGUGGGACAGAGCCUGUCUGAGACCAGGGGAGCUGGGGACCUGCAAGCGCUGUGUCCCCUGCUCCUGGCUGCGUCUCCCUGUGUGCCAGCCCCAUCUCCAGAAGAGACUCAGACCUGAGAGAGGUGUGAACGCACUACCAGGGCACUGGGGAAGUUCUUGCUUUAGAAACAGAUACGGGGCCAAAGGCAGCAUGGCCCCCUGUGUUCCCUGGUCCAGGAACAGCUGCUGCUUCCCAACAGCCAGCAGACUGCAAGGGCGUGGGGUUUCCUUUGUGUUAGGGGUAAAUUUUGGUGCACCUUCAAAUAUUUCCAUUGCCCUCGGAGAGCUCUGUGCUCCGGGCUGAGAUCUGAAUGGUCCGUCUUGUCCCCUGCCAAUAUGAGGCUGUUCCCUGUAUUUUUUCCAGUGCUUGUUUUAUUCGUCCCAUGAGGCAAAUAAAAUUACUUCCCCUAGGAGGCUUUGACACAGGCAGCUAGAGACCAGCAGCUGGAGUCUUUUCUUGCUACGUACUCGCACCACUCUUUCCUUUGCCUUCAUCCUGUUCCAUUGUAGCACUUUCCGUGGGCUUGUGUCAGCAAUCCCGGCUCCUCACGGGGCUGCAGCCCCUUUCUGCUCCGCUCCCGCGUGCAGUGUUGUUACACAAAGCAACAUCGCAGCAUGGUGCCGAGGAAAGAGCUGUUUUCUCUCCUGAGUAGAUUCUCCAGAGUUGUUAUUACUUUUCCAACAGCAAAUACAAAGCAAGUGGAAAUGUUGGCUGAUGCUGCUAAUAAAAUUCUUGAGCAUCUA